rnacentral:lncRNA from 9 species
GAUACUAUGAUAGUGAAUACAUGUCUUCACACAUACCAUAGUAUUAAAAUAUAGAAUAGCUCCACCACUCUAAAAUUCUCUGUGCUCUGCCUAGUCAUCACUAGCCCCUGGCAACUACUGAUCUUUUUAUUGUUUCCAUAGUUUAAUCUUCUCCAGAAUGCCAUAAAGUUGAAAUCAUAUAGUAUGUAACCCUUUUUCAGAUUGGCUUCUUUUACUUAGUAAUAUACAUUCAAGUCUUUUCAUGACUUGAUAGCUCACUUAGUUUUAGCAUUGAGUAAUAUUCCAUUACUGACAUGACGGAAUUUAUGAUUUAAAAAAUAUAAUCCCAGCUUAUUUAUGGGGAAAAGGUUAGAGAGGGAUAAGAAUAAAUUUCAAGAAAACAGUUGGGAUGCUAGUGCAAUUGCUCUGGUAUGAGAGGAGAAAGCCACAUUCUGGGGUGGCAGCAAUGGAGAUGAACUGAAUAAGAUGAUUUAAGACUAUGUCUAUGAGGUAAAAGUAGUAGUACUUGUCGAUGAAUCAGACUUGGGAAAUUAUAGAAAGAGGGGUCAAGAAUGACUUCUGGAUCUUUGGCUUGAGCAAUUGGAUGGAUGAGGGUAUUUAACAAGGGUGGGUGGUGAAACAAGGCUGGAGGUCCCACUGGAAUAGCUUGAUUCCAAGCCAAAAAUUCAGCCCCUCAGAAAAUUCUAUUAGAGGGAUAUAAAAAUCCUCACCAAACAUAAAUCUCAUUUCCUUUUCCUUGCAGAUUGUUGGCCACUCCUCCUAGGCUCCAGGGAUAUGAAUGAUUUCCCUGAAACCAGAAGGUAAGCAUGAGUCCAAACUGCGGUUUAAAUCAAGUUCCUCCCGACUACAGAAAAUUUUCUCACUCCUUUAUUUUAGUUUUUUAGGGCUGCAGGUGCAGCCCAUGAAAGUUCCCAGGCUAAGGGUCGAAUCAGAGCUGAAGCUGCCAGCCAUAGCCACAGCAACACCAGAUCCAAGCCAUGUCUGCAACCUACACUAUAGCUCAUCUCAAUACUGGAUUCUUAAUACACAGAGCGAGGCCAGGGAUAGAACCCACAUCCUCAUGGAUACUAGUCUACUAGUUGGGUUCGUUUCUGCUGAGCUACAACAGGAACUCCUCUCACUCCUUUAGGUGAAAUCUUGCAAACUAUGUUCCACUUUCUUUAAUACAUUUAUGCAACUAAUACUAAUAGAAUAGUUCCUAUUGCCUUGAAUUCUCUUAGAUGCUACAGAUGAGCAAAAGAGCCAGUAUUUGCUCUUAUGGGGCUUAUACUGGGGAAAGAAACCACAAACAAAUAUACAAGUACAUAACAUGAGUCCAGGUUUGGACAAGUGCUGAUGACAUAAAAUAAAUCAGGGUAAGGAAAAAGAAAGGAUAAUGAAGCAGUCAUUGGGAAGUUGAGAAGGUCUUUCUGAGGAAGCUACAGUUUAGUAGUAGUCAGAAUACAGUCAGGAGAAAGUCAUCUGAAGGCUGAGUGAAAGAGGACCCGGUCCUGGACUAGAAGGAUCAUGGUUCAUUAGAGGAACUUCACGAAGGCCAGCAUCACCAGGAUAGGAUGCACAAGUGGGGAAGUAGGAGGAGAUGAAAUCAGGGUAGAGGGAGCGAUCUCAUAAUGCAAGUCAGCAAGGGUAAGAAGUUGGGAUUUGUUUUCUGAGAAGCCACUGGAGGACUUUAUCCAAUUUAUGCUUUUGAAAACUCACCUUGACCGCUACGUGGAAAAUUAACUCAAGGGACAGAAGAGUGGAAACAGAAAUACCCAUUAGAGAUGAUUGCAGAAACCUCCAUGAAGGCUGACAGGACUCAAAGAAGAGCCGAGGUCUUAGGAGGAGGGGAAAGUGGGUUACGUUGGAACAGAGUCAGAAACUGAGCUGCAGGACUUGCUGAUGGAAACGAGGUGGGUGUCAGAAAAAGAAAGAAACCCAACAUCACACCUAGGUUUUACACCUCAGAUACUUGGUGAAUACUGGUGCUUUUUACUGAGACAGGGAAAAUUGGAAAGGAGCGGGCAUUGAGGAGUGGAUCCACGGGACUGUGAGAGUGGGAUGGACUGGAAGUUUGGGGUUAGUAGAUGCAAACUAUUACAUUUAGAAUGGAUACACAAGGAAGUCUUAUUGUGCAGCACAGGGAACUAUAUCCAAUCUCUUGUAAUAUAAAAUAACGGAAAAUAUUAUGAGAAAAAGAAUGUAUAUAUUUAUGUAUGGCGGGUCACUUUGCUGCACAGCAGAAAUUGACACAGCAUUGUAAAUC